AUUGAACGCUGGCGGCAGGCCUAACACAUGCAAGUCGAACGAGUGGCGCACGGGUGAGUAAUGUCUGGGAAACUGCCCGAUGGAGGGGGAUAACUACUGGAAACGGUAGCUAAUACCGCAUACCAUCGGAUGUGCCCAUAUGGGAUUAGCUAGUAGGGGGGGUAAAGGCUCAACUAGGCGACGCUCUCUAGCGGGUCUGAGAGGAUGCUCAGCCACCCAGGGACUGGAGCACGGCCCAGAAGCCUACGGGAGGCAGCAGUGGGGAAUAUUGCACAAUGGGCGCAAGCCUUAUGCAGCCAUGCCGGGUGUGUGAAAAAGGUCUUCGGAUUGUAAAGCAAUUUAAGUUGGGAGGCGUUACCAACAGAAUAAGCACCGGCUAACUUCGUGCCAGGAGCCGCGGUAAUUC
rnacentral:rRNA from 1 species